AACUCUUAGCGGUGGAUCGCUCGGCUCGUCCGUUGAUGAAGAACGCAGCCAGCUGCGAGAACUAAUGUGAAUUGCAGGACACAUUAAUCAUCGACACUUCGAACGCACUUUGCAGCCCCGGUAGAGGCCACUCCUGUCUGAGCGUCG